AGUUUGAUCCUGGCUCAGAACGAACGCUGGCGGCAUGCCUAACACAUGCAAGUCGAACGGGAUCCUAGCUUGCUAGGUGAGAGUGGCGGACGGGUGAGUAACACGUGGGAAUCUGCCUUUUGGUUCGGGAUAACCGCGGGAAACUGCGGCUAAUACCGGAUGCUCCCGAGAGGGAAAAGAUUUAUCGCCAGAAGAGGAGCCCGCGUCCGAUUAGGUAGUUGGUAGGGUAAUGGCCUACCAAGCCAACGAUCGGUAGCUGGUCUGAGAGGAUGAUCAGCCACACUGGGACUGAGAUACGGCCCAGACUCCUACGGGAGGCAGCAGUGGGGAAUAUUGGACAAUGGGGGCAACCCUGAUCCAGCAAUGCCGCGUGAGUGAUGAAGGCCUUAGGGUUGUAAAGCUCUUUUGCCAGGGAAGAUGAUGACUGUACCUGGAGAAUAAGCCCCGGCUAACUUCGUG
rnacentral:rRNA from 1 species